AGACGUCUACAUUAGAUACCCGGGUAGUCCCAGCGUAAACUAUGCGCGUUAGGUGUAUCGGUGACCACGAGUCACCGAGGUGCCGAAGGGAAACCGUGAAACGUGCCGCCUGGGAAGUACGGUCGCAAGGCUGAAACUUAAAGGAAUUGGCGGGGAGCACCACAACGGGUGGAGCCUGCGGUUUAAUUGGACUCAACGCCGGGAAGCUCACCGGAUAAGACAGCGGAAUGAUUGCCGGGCUGAAGACUCUGCAUGACUAGCUG
rnacentral:rRNA from 1 species